CUUGAACUUUCAGAAAUUCAAGCUUAAAGCAUCACACGUUUUUCUAAUAUUGUGUGGCAUUUUCUGUCAUUUUACUUUUUUAACCUUUAUAUGGAAUAACAACCAUCAGCCUUGUCUUUCAGAUGUGCCAUUUGGGGGUGCUAAAGCUGGUGUUAAGAUCAAUCCCAAGAACUAUACUGAUAAUGAAUUGGAAAAGAUCACAAGGAGGUUCACCAUGGAGCUAGCAAAGAAGGGCUUUAUUGUGUGGCCACAUAGAUUUUGGUAUAAAGUGGGAACAUCUAAAAAAAUCUUUUUUUUUUUUUUUUGAGACAGAGUCUUGCUCUGUCGCCAAGAUUGGAGUGUAGUGGUGCGAUCUCCUCCACCUCCCGGGUUCAAGCAAUUCUCUUGUCUAAGCCUCCCGAGUAGCUGAGACUAUAGGCAUGUGCCACCAUGCCCAGCUAAUUUUCGUAUUUUUAUAGAGAUGGGGUUUUGCCAUGUUGAUCAGGCUGGUCUUGAACUCUUGACCUCAGGUGAUCCACCCAUCUCAGAAUCCCAAAGUGCUGGGAUUACAGGCGUGAGCCACUAUGCCCGGCCUCCUACUAUUUGUAAUAGGAGAUAGGGUCAGAUAAGGGAAUAAAAGCAGGCUGCCCCAGCCAGGGGCAGCAACCAGCUCAGGUCCCCUUCCACACUGUGGAGGCUUUGUUUUUUUGCGCUUUGCAAUAAAUCUUGCUG
rnacentral:lncRNA from 10 species